rnacentral:rRNA from 1 species
CCUACGGGUGGCAGCAGUGGGGAAUAUUGCACAAUGGGGGAAACCCUGAUGCAGCGACGCCGCGUGAGUGAAGAAGUAUUUCGUUAUGUAAAGCUCUAUCAGCAGGGAAGAAAAUGACGGUACCUGAGUAAGAAGCCCCGGCUAACUACGUGCCAGCAGCCGCGGUAAUACGUAGGGGGCAAGCGUUAUCCGGAUUUACUGGGUGUAAAGGGAGCGUAGACGGUAGUGUAAGUCUGGAGUGAAAGGCGGGGGCUCAACCCCGGGACUGCUUUGGAAACUGUACGACUGGAGUGCAGGAGAGGUAGGUGGAAUUCCUGGUGUAGCGGUGAAAUGCGUAGAGAUGAGGAGGAACACCGGUGGCGAAGGCGGCCUACUGGACUGAAACUGACGUUGAGGCUCGAAAGCGUGGGGAGCAAACAGGAUUAGAUACCCGAGUAGUC